UUACCGCAUUAUCUCCAUAUAAAGAAUUACUUCUAUUAUUCGAGCAACAUAACUUAGGUCGACGCAAACACAGGUAGAAAAAUAACGGGGAUCUGAAUAGCAGAGAGAGAAAGAGGAAGAACGAACGAAAAAAUGGGGUGGAGGAAAUUCGAUCCAUGGCCAGUUUUCUUCAAGAGAGAAUGGAAUCGCAAUUGGCCAUUCCUAACUGGUUUCGCCAUUACUGGUUACAUCAUUACCAAAGUUUCUCUCGGUCUUUCUGAGGAGGAUGCGAAGAACUCACCUUUUGUUCAAAGGCACAAAAGGCACUAGAGGCGGUUGAUGUAUGUUGUGCUUGGAUGGAAGCCUAUUUUCAGCUGAUGAAUAAAAAGGCGCUGGUGCUUAAGCUUUUCUUCUGAACUGAAGAUUUAUGGGUGGUUGUUUUUUCUUGAUAUUAGAACUGUUGAUUUGUAACAUGUACUGCUUUGAUAUUCAAGCACAUUAUAGUUGAAAUAUAGAUUCUGUUUCUGUAAUCUAAGCUAAUUUGCCCUUCCAUUCA